UGGGGAAUUUUGGACAAUGGGCGAAAGCCUGAUCCAGCAAUGCCGCGUGUGUGAAGAAGGCCUUCGGGUUGUAAAGCACUUUUGUCCGGAAAGAAAUCCUUGGCUCUAAUACAGUCGGGGGAUGACGGUACCGGAAGAAUAAGCACCGGCUAACUACGUGCCAGCAGCCGCGGUAAUACGUAGGGUGCAAGCGUUAAUCGGAAUUACUGGGCGUAAAGCGUGCGCAGGCGGUUUGCUAAGACCGAUGUGAAAUCCCCGGGCUCAACCUGGGAACUGCAUUGGUGACUGGCAGGCUAGAGUAUGGCAGAGGGGGGUAGAAUUCCACGUGUAGCAGUGAAAUGCGUAGAGAUGUGGAGGAAUACCGAUGGCGAAGGCAGCCCCCUGGGCCAAUACUGACGCUCAUGCAUGAAAGCGUGAGGAGCAAAACAGGAUUAGAUACCCUGGUAGUCCACGCCCUAAAACGAUGUCAACUAGUUGUUGGGGAUUCAUUUUCCUUAGUAACGUAGCUAACGCGUGAAGUUGACCGCCUGGGGAGUACGGUCGCAAGAUUAAAAACUCAAAUGAAUUGACGGGGUCAUAGCUGUUUCCU
rnacentral:rRNA from 1 species